GAGAGAAACAGAGAAGGCAGAGCGAGGCAGAGAAGCUUCUCUGCUUUGCACAGCUCUGCACGCCGUAGGCAGUGGGAAAUUUACCUAUGAUCGUAGUGGAUGUAACCUCAAAGAAAAGUCGAAAUUCGUCGAUCGGUCAAUUGCCCGCAGUAGGCCGCAACAAUCCGCAUCCACAAAGGAUCGUCUACCUUCCUUGCAUAACCGGUUUAGUGGGGAACAUGCGUAUUCCAGGAGUUAUCGCCUGACUCAAGGCUGAAGGACGGGGCCGACGUCGCUCAAUGAUGGGGUGCACAAAGAAGGAAUUACGAUAAACCAGUUAUGCUUCCCUCGACUGGUUACUUCAAAACUAUCAAUUGCCCGUUUUACGAGAGCGGAUCUUGCGAUAGGCCCUACUGUCACUUCAAACAUGCUCGAAGAGAAGAUGCAGCAGGACUACCUGCUGUGGCUGGAUCAACGUCGGUUCAAGCGGUGGCAGGGAACAAAGCCGGAGGAUCCUCCACCUCUGGUAUUAAUUCAGGUCCGGAUAUGUUACAACAAUUAGUGUCCGAGGCUGUGAAAAAAGUUCUCGCCCAACAAGAAGUUACGAAUACUGAGAAGUUUUCAGAAACUAUAGUGACUAAAGUGGUAGAGGAACUUAAGCCUAGUUUAACGUCGCAUUCAUUGGCAUCUACCUCUGCUGCUUCCAUAAACUCUGUUGUACCAAGCUUGAUUGGUAAACACAUCGGUGUACCACCAUCGGUGCCGAAGCAUACUCCAUGCGUUUAUAAUCCAACACCUAUUGCGGAAUUAAAGAAGCGACAUAUCCCAGUAGCUUCGUAUAUGCCUACAAGGGAAAAUAGAGUUGCAGUAAAACGCAAAAGUUCACCAGAAAGGUGUAAACCCUGGAGUACACAUACAUUACAAGAAUCGGAUAGUCCUAGAGAGGCUGAAAUUACUUAUAAACCAACCGCUAUCAGUGGUUCUAGCGAUGGAUCAGUAAUUCAAGGUUAUGUUCCAACGAUGAAGUUUGAUUCUUCAUCACCUAUAAACUCGUACGAUGGUAGUAACUCAAGUGAUUAUUCGUCAAAAAUAAAAGAGGCAUACUAUCCUAAGUCAAAGAAAAGGAGAGAGGAAUAUGUGCCUAGAAAAGUCAAAGCCCCUUUAAAAAAUAUGGAACAGUUUGAUGAUAAGAUUUUGGAGAAUUUUCAAUCAAAUUAUCCAAUGAUCAAUGAUGUUAUAGCUGAUAGUUCAAGUCCCUAUGUUCCCGGUAGUGACGAUUCUGAAGAUGGCAUCGUGGAUAUAGAACCAAAGUUUUCAGACGAGGAACCAAUUGAUGACAAUGCAGAUAAUAAUACUGGUGAUGACAAACCAAUGGAACAAGAAGAUAUUAAUACAAGCAAAAGCUUGGAAGAAAAGGAGAAUAAAAAUGAUUAUAUUAAGGCUGAAAUUAUAAAUGAAAUUGUGCGCGAUUUAAAGCACAAAGAAAAAUCUGACAAUACUCAAAAAGAUGGCUAUAAAAGUGUCGAUCGAUUUAACAGGGGAAGACAUGACAGUGAUAAUAAGCAUUCACAUGAUCAUAAAAACUCUGACAAAAAACAUAAAGGUAAAUCCAAAGAGACUUCAAAUAGUGAAUCAAAGCAUGACAACGAAAAGUCUAAAAGAGAUCAUAAAAGCAGCAAGGAUUGCGAUAAGGAGUUAAAAAAUAAGAGUCAUCAUGAGAGAAGUAGCAAGGAGAAGCACAAACAUUCUUCGCAUGGUGAAAAACGAGAAAGAUCUUCAUCAUCCAGCAAGGAUAAAGAUAAAGAUAAGCAUAAGAGUUCUCGAAGCGAUAAAGACAAUUCCAAUAAGACUAAGCAUAAUUCGAGCUCUCAUAAGAGUACUUCCUUGAAAGAAGAGCAAAGCAAUAAAGAUCGUCAUAAGUCAAGUAGUUCGGAGAAACAUAGGCAUAAGUCAAGCUCGUCAAGCUCUAAGACUGGGAAGCAUUCAUUGGAGAAGAACUCGGAAGAGAGACAGUCUCGAUCUAAUCAUUCAUCUAGAAACUCAAGCAGAAAAUCCAAGAGAAGAAAGAGCAGUAGUAAAGAGAGAAUCAUAACCGAUCAGGAAGAUAAAUCCAACAGUCCAUGGAAUAGUUUAUCCACAUUUUUGGAUGACGACAUCUUGGCAGAAUCCGAGUCGGAUCAUGAUGUAGAAGAAGAGUGCUUAAAAAUAUUUCAGGAAUAUGAAGUUUCAGAUCAUCCUAAAGAAGUCAAAGAACCACCAAAAAGAGAAGUUUCCCAGGUGAUCGAAGAUCAUGGAAAGAAGAGGGUUGCACACCCAUCGGCUGAGACUUCAGUGGUCCGACAAGUCGGGCCCUCUCAGCCACCGAAGAGACUUACCAACCCUCAACAGCGCAUGUACGAGAGAUGGAGAUUAAUGAAAGAAGCUGCGGCGGAACAAGUAGCGAAAAAAGCAGAUGAGAAUGCGACGCAAGUGCAAGGCGACUUAGAUACCCAUGUAGCACCCGUUUCCCAAAAUACAGCUGUCAAUCCAACAGCGUCGUCUACCAAAGCGCCACUCGCUACAGGGAACAUUAAACAAACCCCGCAGUCUGAAAACGGUCGAGUUAGAAUCGCCCAUGUCCCCUACGCGAUGUCUAUCGCUGUGACCAAAAAGAGAGUUCCCGACUCUGCACCAAAGGUGGCAGAAGACAAUAGAACGACAGCUCAAACCUCCAAGGGUGGCUCUCGGGUCGCGCACGUUCCUCAAGUGGUACCGCAGCUCGUUCGUCCGGAACCACUUCAAAGUUCGACUCAGAAAUUCUCGUUGAACGUGAGACAGUAUUACGUCAACAUGAUGCAGGACAUAUGCAUGCAGAUCUACACGAGUGGAGAGGACGCGGCGCAGCGAGCUAUCCAGGAGGAAUUCGCUUGCUACGAACGGUGUAAAGCUGUGGCCGUGUACAAAAGCUCCUGCAUGUUAGCAGCUCACAGGCUGCGGAAGGAAAUAGAUCAGCGGUCGAAUGAAAAUUCCGCACCGCCAAGUUCGGGAAUGAUGUCUCAUGAACUCGUCCUUGCUGGAAAGUCACGGGGAUCUUGGAGCGUGGUGAAAACUAAACGAGCCGUUACCGAUAUUAAAGGGACCACGUUGUACAUGAUGCUCGGAAAGUGGAUCCUGACGGAGCAACAAUUGCGAGACAAUGGUUAUCCAAGACCUCAUCCGGAUGGACCAACCGGGCGAGCUAAGGUCUACGUCACGAAUACGCGGAACCAGACGAUAUUGUCCAAAGUGCCUAACGAAAGAUUCUGUAGUCGGUGCGGUCAGACUUACAUGGUGGACAAAACUGGAAUGGCAGUUCAGCAGCAGAACUGUAUAUUCCACUGGGGAAGAAAGUUUACAAUUAGGGGCGAGGGGAAGUACAGCUGUUGUCAGCAAUAUGGCUCCGCCUCUGGUUGCUGCGAUGCCAAAAGUCACGUAUGGGAUUAUGUUGAUUACGAGAACCUGCGAGGCUACGUUAAGACGUUACCCAAAGAUGGCCCUGACGAGAAACAGGGUGUUUACGCACUUGACUGCGAAAUGUGUUACACGACACAAGGAUUGGAACUCACUAGAGUAACUGUUAUCAAUGAAGAUUGCAACGUUAUCUAUGAAACGUUGGUCAAGCCUGAAAAUCCUAUUAUCGAUUAUAAUACAAGAUUUUCAGGAAUUACCGAGGAAAACAUGAAAGAUGUGACUACCACAAUUCUCGACGUGCAGGCGACCCUGCUCACAAUGUUUUCCGAUAAAACGGUAUUAGUGGGACACAGCCUCGAAAGUGAUUUCAAGGCAUUAAAAUUGAUUCAUGAAACAGUCGUUGAUACCAGUGUUAUGUUUCCUCACAAAAAUGGCUAUCCCCAUAAAAGGGCAUUAAAAAACCUUUGUUCCGAGUAUUUGCGUAAAAUCAUUCAGAACGAUGUAGGUGGACAUGACAGCAACGAAGAUGCCGUUGCUUGCAUGGAACUUAUCCUGUGGAAAGUUAAGGAAGAAGCGAAGGUGUAAUAAAAGAGCGAUUAACUUCUGAAAAUCUGAAGACAAUUUGUAAGGAAAAAACUGCACAACGGUGUACUCCCCUGUAUUUUGUUUACGACUCUCCGAAUAGUAUUACACGAUUGUACUGCCGAUAGUCGCGCUUUUAGCCUUCCACCGAUCGAAUAAGGCCUAAGCGUUCGCGUAAAUAAACUCUUGUCGGAUGUGCAUUGUCUUUGAUUCGGGUGAUUAAAAAUACAGGGCGACAUCGAGUCCGGACAAUGUCGUGAUUACGCCACUUGUCGUAUCACUGAUAUCGGUCGUUACUUCUCUUAACGUUUCUAUUUAAUAUUUUUGUACUUCGUUACCUAUUUAUAUUUUAGACCAUUAAAGUGACGAAAUAAGUUAUCCAGUAUUUGUUCGCUAUUAAUCCCACCCUUUGCAGUUUAAUUUUCCACGCAAACCAGAAUAUUUCAUUGAUGUGUUGCGAUGUGAUGUGGUGAUAUCGACAUUUCCUUAGAUGUAAAAGUAGGACAGUCACGAUUAUGUACAUAAUUUUAUUAUUUGCUUAUUACAAAAGUACCUCUUGUUUCAAAUUGUACACCUUGCUUCGAUCGCAUCCCCCUUCGAACUGUAUGGUGACAAAUAUAAAUCGUCUGGUUCGAUUAA
rnacentral:misc_RNA from 1 species